CCGGUCAUAUCCUUUUUCACUGUUGCUUAGCAACAAAGAAUGAGUAGAACUCAAAAGGGCGAGCGGUCGUCAGCCAGUCAGAAGAAGGUCGGUGGUUUGAUACCAGACUGGAGACUUAAAGUGUUGAAAAGUCCUUAAAGACACAGAGGGUCAUCGACUACUUAGAAGAUCCAUACAUGAAGUGUCCCUCUUGCAGCAAAACAUCUCUACAUCAUGAUGCUGCCAGCACAGUACUUCACAGUGAGGAUGCUGGUCUCAGAUAUUUCUGCCCAUGCAUCCGCUCCUUCUAAGUACAUAAAUGGCAAAAAACCAGGAAUGACUGAAGUCUGGACCCAGUUACUGAGGACACCCCUGUCCCAAGAAGACUCGGGGGAACAAUCACUAGUCCCAUGCCUCAAAGAGCGGACACCACAGAGAGAUGACUAAAACAGGAAGAAAGACAAAGGGUUAAAGCUGGCGCAUUAGGUUGAAAGUAUAUGAAACAAAAAAAGAGUUGCAGCUAGAGAGGUUGGAAGGCAUGUCUGGAGUAGGAAAAAUGAGGACAAAGGGGAACAACUUAUUUCAGAACCCACUGUCCUCUGACAAAAGCAGAGAAUUUCAAAAGUAAAAAAAAAACUGGGAGGGAAAGUGGUAGAGGGACAGAUGUGAUUAGCAAGGUAGCAGUAAAUAGAUAGUAGAAAAAAGCAAAGCCUGACUGCUUUACAUCAUAAGAGCAUACAAAUUAAAACUGUGCUGACUCUACAGAGACAUCAUGACAGACAGCGUCAUGGUGAAUGUGAAGCUGCAGCACGUCCUUAUCCGUCACUCGUGUCAUUUGAGCAAAAGUGAA